AUGAUGACGAGCUGCUCCUCCGAAGUGAUGUUUCCACGUCUUAAGUCGGGGCGGAGAUAGUUCAGCCACCGCAGCCGACAACUUUUUCCGAACACAUGGAAGUCCUCAAGACCUAACUAUCCUCUUUUAAGAAUCUCAUAUAUAGUUCACGAGCCAAAUCGGAUUCAACUCGUUUUUAGACGAGUUGGAUCAAAGAUUUUUGGACACAAUGAUUCAAGUCGGGCCAAAUCAGUUCGCGAGACAUUGCAAGUAGAGCUUAAUAUCAUAUUUAUCUGUAUUUGAACGAUAGAUUACAAUUUUAUGUUUGUAUUAUUUGAUUUCGUCAUAGACAUACAUGCAUAUAUAUACACACUUGUAUUUAUAUAGAUCAGAAUAUAAUUUUUUUU